AAAAAAAAAAAAAAAACAAAGGAUAAUAAAGCAUAAACAAACAAAACCACAAAAUGGAUUCAAUCCAGUGAGAGAUCACCAGCAACAUAAAGUUUCUAUGAAUUGUAAUGUCCCAUUCUCCCUAAAGGGAAACAAAAGGAGAAAAAUAACAAUGCAAUUUCCAAACACAAAAUCCACUCUUGAGAUUCAAACACAACCAAACCAAACGACAAGAAAUCAGCAUCGCCAAUAGCCAGAAGACCACUCAAUGUCCACAUAGAAUCACAGCCCCUCCACCACCUCCAGGGCUCCAGGCCAUUAAUGAGGGAGAGAAAUGAGAACUCAAAUGACAAACCAAGAUCAAUAUUAUAAGAGCCGUGUGUGAAAAAAUAAUGUUAUGUUAUCUGUCGUCAAUGUUUUCAUUAAAUGCUCCUCCCAACUUUCCAUUAAUGACUCCGCAAUUUUACCAGACUAGUCUCUUCUCAUUAACUCUCCUCCGCUUCCCGAUCUCCUUUCCAUUUAAUUCCCAUCUCCGCCCCUCCCUUUUCUAUCCAAUCCAUGCUCUCCACGUGUCUUUUCCUUUGUCUUUUCUUCACCUCCUGUUGUAUCUCUCCGGUGACAACAGCGCCUCGGGAUCCCCACACCUUAGUCUGCUCGACGAGAAUGCUGCCACCGAUGAUCUUUGGAACAUUGGACUCGCCAUCGACUUGCUCCGCCUUGAUGAUCCUCCUCCUCCGCUGCCUGUUGGGUAUCGCUCCGAUAAUGGGAAGAAUCCUCCUCUCCUUCUGAAAAAUGGUGAUUUCAUGCCUUUGUAAUGUCUAAAUGAGAAAACUCUAUGCUUUGAUAACGAUCCAAACGGCGAUGAACGUUUACUCCAGAAGCUUCCCCUCCGGUAACGCCAAGGUGACGUUGUCGUUGGUUCCAUCACCAACAUCCUCUCCGAUGCUAAGCUGCGCUCAAACCCGAAGGAAUAGGACCGUUUCAACAAGAAAUCACGGCCAGUGAAUCGAUCUUCAGAUUGACUGUAAUUGUUGAAAUUAUUACUGUUUCUUCUCGACGACGAUUCUUCAAUACACGGAGUGAUCUCCGUCACCGUCGUUAUGGUGGUUGUUGCUGUGUUGCCAGUAUGAGAAGGAGGAGGAGUGUGAAUUAUGGAUUCGGGCCCAAUACUAUGCAGAAUUGUGUCGUCAAGGCUAGGUCUGAUUCUAGAGGCCAUCACCGGUAUAAAAGGGGAAUCCGACCGGAAUAUUCUGGCACGGCACAGAGGGCAGUUAGCGUGAGACCUUAGCCAGAUAUCGAUACAAUCCACGUGAAAGGCGUGAGAGCAAACAGGAAGUGUACGGACGUAAUCGUUAUCUUCGAACUGCAGUAAGCAGACAGCACAGUCUUUACUGUUACUGCUCUCUUUGUGAAAGCCAUUUUUGGUGGUGUAGACGAAGAGAGGCAAAGUCUUUAUAACGGACUCAUCAAGUCCAUAAGGCGAAUACACAUGAAAACCGUCAGGUGAGUCGAAGGGAGGCGGCGGGGAGUCGAGGUCGCCGCUGGAGGAAGGGAUGUAACGGAGGCGACGACGGCGACGCCACCUUCGCCAGCGGCGGAGCACUCGGAUGAGGUAACGAGAAAUCAAGCGAGAGUACGUGAUUACCAAAAAAGCUGCGGCGACCACUACUACCAUGGCUAUCAAAGGUGGGCUGAAGUCAACGGGAAGUUUGGAGUCAGGCGGGGGUGACCAUGACUGGGUGGGAGUGGUAAUUGUAUUUGUAGUGACGACGGUGGAAGCGGGUGAUGGGCCCCGCCGGAAGUGGUGGUGCACCGGCGAAGGGGCAGGGGCCAAGGCUCUGAUAACCAUGUUGGUGGCGGUUUUGUGUAAAGUGUGUUAAUGGCGUUUCGAGGUUUUACUUUGUAUGUUGAGCGUGGGGUUCGUUUGUAUGGGUUAAUUGUUCCAAAAGUUGACCGUGAUUUGUCGACGGUGGGGGGAGAGGUGUCAUUGAAUAAGGCGCGUGGUAUCAGGUACAUAUGCAACCAGCUGUUCUCAAUAUUACUCGCCAUUUACUCUAUGCCACGUCAGAAAGCUUUUGAAAAUUGGGAGGUGUGUCUGACGGGGGCAUUGGGUGUUCUCUUUACUGCGUUGUGGUGUUUGUGUGGAAUAAGAAAAGAAAAUGCAAAAUUUGAUGUGGUGGCCCACAAUUCCUGGAUUAAUUUCCAUGGACUUUUUAAUAUUAAUAACAAUAAAAUAAAUCAAGAAUACGAAAACUAAUUGGAUGGGUGACUGACUAUUAUUGUCUAUUGGAUGAUAAUUGCGUAAGAUAAAAAAAAUAUAAAUAUUUAAAUAAUUAUUUUAAUUUGACGAAUCAUGACAAUGAAUAUAUAGUAUAAUUCAAAAAAAAAAAAGAAAAAAACUAUAAACUUGAUGAGUAUUGACAUAAUAAGUACAAGUAUACUUCAAAAGAAAUCAUAGACUCGACCAUUAUUGUCCAUUGCUCGAAAAUCCACUACUGAUUAUACAUAUUAAUAAUUUUCUUAUAAAAUGAGGUAAACAAAAAUGUUCUUUAAAUUACAUAUAUAUAUAUAAAGUUAAGUAG
rnacentral:misc_RNA from 1 species